rnacentral:rRNA from 1 species
CACGUAGGGUGCAAGCGUUGUCCGGAAUUAUUGGGCGUAAAGAGCUCGUAGGCGGCUUGUCGCGUCGACUGUGAAAACCUAGGGCUCAACCCUGGGCCUGCAGUCGAUACGGGGCAGACUAGAGGUAGGUAGGGGAGAAUGGAAUUCCCGGUGUAGCGGUGAAAUGCGCAGAUAUCGGGAGGAACACCGGUGGCGAAGGCGGCCAUCUGGGACAACACUGACGCUGAGGCACGAAAGCGUGGGGAGCAAACGGG